GAUGAACGCUGGCGGCGUGCCUAAUACAUGCAAGUCGAGCGGACGGACGAGAAGCUUGUUUCUCUGAUGGUAGCGGCGGACGGGUGAGUAACACGUGGAUAACCUUCCUAUAAGACUGGGAUAAUUUCGUGAAACAGGUUCUAAUACUGCAUAAUACUUUCUACCGCAUAGUGCAAAAGUGCAUGGCGGCUUGCCCGUCACUAUUAGACGGAUCCGCGCUGCAUUAGCUAGUUGGUAAGGUAACGGCUUACCAAGGCAACGAUGCAUAGCCGACCUGAGAGGGUGAUCGGCCACACUGGAACUGAGACACGGUCCAGACUCCUACGGGAGGCAGCAGUAGGGAAUCUUCCGCAAUGGGCGAAAGCCUGACGGAGCAACGCCGCGUGAGUGAUGAAGGUCUUCGGAUCGUAAAACUCUGUUAUUAGGGAAGAACAUAUGUGUAAGUAACUGUGCACGUCUUGACGGUACCUAAUCAGAAAGCCACGGCUAACUACGUG
rnacentral:rRNA from 1 species